rnacentral:rRNA from 1 species
GACGAACGCUGGCGGCGUGCUUAACACAUGCAAGUCGAACGGAAAGGCCCUGCUUGCAGGGUACUCGAGUGGCGAACGGGUGAGUAACACGUGGGUGAUCUGCCCUGCACUUCGGGAUAAGCCUGGGAAACUGGGUCUAAUACCGGAUAGGAGCCAUUUUUAGUGUGAUGGUUGGAAAGUUUUUUUCGGUGUAGGAUGAGCUCGCGGCCUAUCAGCUUGUUGGUGGGGUAAUGGCCUACCAAGGCGGCGACGGGUAGCCGGCCUGAGAGGGUGGACGGCCACAUUGGGACUGAGAUACGGCCCAGACUCCUACGGGAGGCAGCAGUGGGGAAUGUUGCACAAUGGGCGCAAGCCUGAUGCAGCGACGCCGCGUGGGGGAUGACGGCCUUCGGGUUGUAAACUCCUUUCGCUAGGGACGAAGCUUUUUGUGACGGUACCUAGAUAAGAAGCACCGGCUAACUACGUG